AGUGAACGCUGGCGGUAGGCCUAACACAUGCAAGUCGAACGGCAGCACAGUAAGAGCUUGCUCUUACGGGUGGCGAGUGGCGGACGGGUGAGGAAUACAUCGGAAUCUACUUUUUCAUGGGGGAUAACGUAGGGAAACUUACGCUAAUACCGCAUACGACCUACGGGUGAAAGCAGGGGAUCUUCGGACCUUGCGCGAUUGAAUGAGCCGAUGUCGGAUCAGCUAGUUGGCGGGGUAAAGGCCCUCCAAGGCGACGAUCCGUAGCUGGUCUGAGAGGAUGAUCAGCCACACUGGAACUGAGACACGGUCCAGACUCCUACGGGAGGCAGCAGUGGGGAAUAUUGGACAAUGGGCGCAAGCCUGAUCCAGCCAUACCGCGUGGGUGAAGAAGGCCUUCGGGUUGUAAAGCCCUUUUGUUGGGAAAGAAAAGCAGCAGGUUAAUACCCCGCUGUUCUGACGGUACCCAAAGAAUAAGCACCGGCUAACUUCGUG
rnacentral:rRNA from 1 species